UCCCAGCCUCUCCCCCUUCCUUCUCCGCUCUCUCGCUCUCUGUGAUUUAUUACUUGCCCUGCUGCUUCUGACAAACUAUUUGUAGGAAAAUGAGAUUUGGUCCGCGCUGGAUGGUUCCUCUGGGAGGCAGGCGUGGGGGUCGGGUGUCGGAGGCCCCGUGUGGCGCCCCCGCCGGAGCCCCACGGCGCUUACGGAGCUCUUUAAGAUAAAUGAGCAAAAUUAAGAGACUCACUGGGGGAAGAAAACCCUGGCUGGCAGCGAGUGAGAGCGGAUGGCAGGUGAGAGAAGCACAUGGAGGAAAGCGACAGGAGGCGCAGCUCAGUGGCAGAGCAUCGGUCGGCAUGGAAACAGUCCUCUGAAAGUCUCCAACACGAAGGGGGAAAAGAGCCUAAAAGCCACCCGUUGUUUCUACUAUUGAUAGUUCGAUCUUUUUCUAAAUUUGACAUUUGUAUUAAAACUAGUAUGCUGUAAA